GUUGAGUACAAGCUACCCAGACAGAAGAGUCACAGUGACAACCCAUCUUAACUACUGUAGGUCAUAGGGAAGAUUUCUUUUGAAGGAUGCAGACGUUUUUUAUUGCAAGCAUCCUUUUCACAGCCUGUUGUGCUGUUCCUCGAGAUCUGUCAGGUAAAAUGUUUACGUUUCCUGUGGAGUCCAAUGUUGCUUGUGUCAGACUCCUGCCAUCAGGAAAUAACUUCAACUCUGUGUCUGCCUCAGGUUGGUCUUGGUGCUCUAUAUGCAUGAAUGACAGGAUUUGCAGUUUUCUUUUCUCUAUAUUUGUUCUAUAUUUCUUUAUUCUCUUAUCACCGUUGGUGGAAUGCACUACUAGUUCCUACCAGACCAGGAACAUCCCUCUCUACCUUC